rnacentral:tRNA from 1 species
AGCAGGAUAAGCUAACUAAAAAGCUGUUGGGCUCAUAACCCAAAAAUAGAACUCUCUUCCUGCUA